rnacentral:rRNA from 1 species
GAUGAACGCUGGCGGCGUGCCUAAUACAUGCAAGUCGAGCGAACGGACGAGACGCUUGCUUCUCUGAUGUUAGCGGCGGACGGGUGAGUAACACGUGGAUAACCUACCUAUAAGACUGGGAUAACUUCGGGAAACCGGAGCUAAUACCGGAUGAUAUUUUGCACCGCAUGGUUCAUAAGUGAAAGACGGUCUUUCUGUCUCUUAUAGAUGGAUCCGAGCUGCAUUAGCUAGUUGGUAAGGUAACGGGUUACCAAGGCAACGAUGCAUAGCCGACCUGAGAGGGUGGUCGGCCACACUGGAACUGGGACACGGUCCAGACUCCUACGGGAGGCAGCAGUAGGGAAUCGUCCGCAAUGGGCGAAAGCCUGACGGAGCAACGCGGCGUGAGUGAUGAAGGUCUUCGGAUCGUAAAACUCUGUUAUUAGGGAAGAACAGAUGUGUAAGUAACUGUGCACAGCGUGACGGUACCUAAUCAGAAAGCCACGGCUAACUACGUG